rnacentral:rRNA from 1 species
UACGAAGGUGACUAGCGUUGUUCGGAAUCAUUGGGCGUAAAGCGCACGUAGGCGGGUUUGAAAGUCGAUUGUGAAAACCCUGGGCUUAACCCGGGACGUGCAGUCGAAACUUCAAGUCUUGAAUACUCGAGAGGAUGGUGGAAUUCCAGGAGUAGAAGUGAAAUUCGUAGAUAUCUGGAGGAACACCGGUGGCGAAGGCGACAUCCUGGACCGGUAUUGACGCUGAGGCGCGAAAGCCAGGGGAGCAAAGCGGG